GUCUUUCAAGUGAUUAUACCAAGAAGCUACUCCCCAAAGGACAUACACAGAAUUACUUCCAGAACAAAAUAACACGAAGAUUUGUAUGUAGUACCCUUUCGGAUCUAUAUCGAAACAAGUUCUGGGAAGAUAGAUAUGAUAGUAGAGUAUGAACUAUAUGAUUAUGUACAGGAUCAAAUGAAAAGCACAUCUUUUUCAUUUCUGAAAAUUAUCAAGAAGCCCUAACUUCCCCUGAAAGAAGUAAGCCUUACUCACUCUCAUUUUCACAACUGGAGGAUUCUCAGGGAAAUAAUUCACAAGAUUUGAAACACAACACUAUUUUUCAAGGAAAUACACAAACAUUACAAAGUGACAUUUGGAAGAAUAAGUUGUGUUUCCUGAUGUAUAUAUUACAGAAUAUGAGAUUAAACAGUGCUUUGGUGAUUUAUGAUCAAAAGAGAUUGUGGAGCAGAGAAAAAGGUACUGAAUGUCAUGAAGAUGAAGGAAUCUUCUCUCAAAAUGUAUGGCAUUUCCUGCAACAAAACCUACUCAGUGACGAGUUAUAUGAUGUAGAUCAACAUAAGAAAGAAUCUAUGAAUGGAAUGAAUCAUGGAAGAUAUAACGUGGGAGGUAAUUUUAAAACUCUAACAAAAUAAUUGAUAUUAAUAUAGGCUAUGUUAAGAAUCCUUUACUAAUGUAUUAAAAAACAACCAAUAUAGAAAGAUAUUAUAUCAAGAUAAUGCCAUAUUAGAAGAUGCUAUUUGUAAAACAAAUCCAAGUGAAAAUCAGAUAAACACCUUUAUUCCAGAAUAUCAUUAUAGUAAGCAUAGAAAAAUGGCUGUCUCUAAUCACUGCUCCCAGUCUUCUUUGGAAGAGCAUACCAUACAGAAUCUUUGUAUAAAUUAAAACAAGAAUGCCAUUUUAAGUGAAUCUUCAAUUCAUAGCUGUUAUACUAGAUCAUGGAAAAAUGGAGAGUCUAAGAGAUACCUGUAUGAAACAUAUAGGGAUGUGUCAAAUGAACCAUUAAGCUUUGAGAGAGCACAUAAAGCAAAUAAAUAUAGUAAGUAUGGGAAAUCAUUUAUCCAGUCAUCAAAUCUUCAAGCUCAUGAUAGAAUUCCUACCCAAGAGACACCUUACAAAUGUAAUGAAUGUGGAAAAUUCUUUACCUGCUCCUAAAGUCUUAAAGUUUACCAUGAAAACUGUACAGGAGAAAGACUUCAUAAAUUUAGUAACUGUGGAAAGUCAUUUUCACAGUCCUCAAAACUUCAAGUUCACUGCAGAAUCCACACAGGAGAGAAACCUUACAAAUGUAACAAAUGUGGGAAAAUUUUUACACAGAACUCAGACCUUAAAGUUCACUACAGAAUACAUACAGGAGAGAAGCCUUACAAAUGUAAUGAAUGUGGCAAAUCUUUUACAUGGAACAAAGUGCUUAAAGUACACUACAGAACCCAUACAGGAGAGAAGCCUUACAAAUGUAAUGAAUGUGGCAAAUCUUUUACACAGAACAAAGUACUUAAAGUUCACUACAGAAUUCAUACAGUAGAGAAACCUUAUAAAUGUAAUGAAUGUGGGAAAUCUUUUGUACAGUACUCAGAGUCUAAAUAUCACUACACAAUCCAUACAGGAGAGAAGCCUUACAAAUGUUCUGAAUGUGGCAAAUAUUUUACAAGGUACACAUACUUACAAGUUCACUAUAGGAUCUAUACAGGAGAAAAACCUUACAAAUGUAAUGAGUGUGACAAAUCUUUUAUACAAUCCUCUACACUUCAAGUUCACUAUAGAAUCCAUACAGGAGAGAAGCCUUAGAAAUAUAAUGAAUGUGGCAAAUCCUUUACACAACACUCAGAUCAUAAAGCUCAUCACAGAAUCCAUACUGGAGAGAAACCUUACAAAUGAAAUGAAGAUGACAUAGCAUUCACUAACUCUCCAAAUCUUUAUGUUCACUACAGAAUCCACACAAGCGAUAAGCCUUACAAACGUGGUCUGUGUUGCAAUCUUUUACCUGGUCCUCCACUUUCCAAUUUCAUCAACCAACCCAUACUGGAAAACAACCUUGUAAGUUUAGUGACUGUGGUAAAUACUUUUCCCUGUCCUCAAAUCUUCAAAAUCACCUCAGAAUACAAACUAAAGACAACCUUACUAAUGUAAGGAGUGUGGAAAAUCCUUGACAUGGAAAUAGUGCCUUCAAAGACAACCCAGCAUGCAUCCUGGAGAGAAAUAUUACAAAUAUAUAGGACAUGGCAAAUAUUUUAGCCCAACCUCAAUGCUUUGAGCCCAUAGAUCCAUGCA
rnacentral:lncRNA from 1 species